GCGCGAAACCUUUACAAUGCACGCAAGUGUGAUAAGGGAAUCCCAAGUGCUCAAGCAUUGCUUGGGCUUUUGCUAUGUGUAAAUAGCAUGGCGAAUAAGUGGUGGGAAAGACUGGUGCCAGCCGCCGCGGUAACACCAGCGCCACGAGUGGCAAUCACGUUUAUUGGGCCUAAAGCGUCCGUAGCAGGUUUUGUAAAUUUCUUGUGAAAUUGCCAGGCUUAACUUGGCAGAGUGCAGGAAACACUGCAAAACUAGAGACCGGGAGGGGUUAGAGGUAUUCCUUAGGGAGCGGUAAAAUGCUAUAAUCUAAGGAGGACCACCUGUGGCGAAGGCGUCUAACUAGAACGGAUCUGACUGUGAGGGACGAAAGCUAGGGGAGCGAACCGGAUUAGAUACCCGAGUAGUCCUAGCCGUAAACGCUGUGAGCUAGGUGUCGCGUAUUCUACGUGAAUGCGCGGUGUCGAAAGGAGCUAUUAAGCUCACCGCCUGGGAAGUACGGUCGCAAGACGUGUAAACG
rnacentral:rRNA from 1 species